rnacentral:rRNA from 1 species
ACGGGAGGCAGCAGUGGGGAAUAUUGCGCAAUGGGGGAAACCCUGACGCAGCAACGCCGCGUGAGUGAAGAAGUAUUUCGGUAUGUAAAGCUCUAUCAUCGGGGACGAGACUGACGGUACCCGAAUAAGAAGUCCCGGCUAACUACGUGCCAGCAGCCGCGGUAAUACGUAGGGGACAAGCGUUAUCCGGAUUUACUGGGUGUAAAGGGUGCGUAGGCGGCAAAGCAAGUCAGAAGUGAAAGCCCGCGGCUCAACUGCGGGACUGCUUUUGAAACUGUUUAGCUAGAGUACUGGAGGGGCAAGCGGAAUUCCUGGUGUAGCGGUGAAAUGCGUAGAUAUUAGGAGGAACACCAGUGGCGAAGGCGGCUUGCUGGACGAAAACUGACGCUGAGGCGCGAAAGCGUGGGGAGCAAACAGGAUUAGAUACCCUGGUA